AGGGAGAGGUCGUUCUGGAGCUGAUGCACUUGUCCCCAGCGGGAACGGACUUGACCCCCGUUAGCCUUUGGAGCGCCUCGGAGGCCUAAGACGAGCUGGACAUCGGCCUCGUGUCAUCUUCGGCCUUACUUUGGGGGGACGGUCACUCCAGGAGCGCUGGCCUGCCCCCUCCCCCAAUGCUCCCCCCACCCCCAGGCUUAGCAUCACAGUGGACAACGUCUCCCACAUCCAGGCUCUUGAUCCGAAAGAGGGGAACUGAGGGCUGCCCGCGGCAAAGCUCGACCUACACUUCAUUUUCUUCCGAUUUGGAGAAAAUGUCACAGGAGUGGGUGGGGGAGACCCUCGCACUGUAAAUAUGAUUUGGAGGGGGCGAGGCUCGGAGUGCGAGGGCCCCGGGCGGCGUGGGCACCCUGCUGGAGAUUCCCGGUCUCACAGCGCGCCCUAGUGGACACCCUGGCCCGCGCCGCUGCCCCCGGACGCCGGCUGGGUUUCCCCGCGCGCCUUACAAUCUGCAAUAUAUUAUUUCUUGCAAAGUAUUGACAAUGUGCGAGGUUCUGGUAACCCCGGAGCUCUUGUCUGUAAUCAGCACAUUUAUUCACAUUUGGGGCGGGGGGAUCCGAAUUAAAUCCCCGUGACCCUGAUUAGGUUACAGUGUCAUUUUCCCCCUGGAUCCUCUUUUAAACCCACUCUACACUGCUGCUCUGUCUAUUACAUGCUAAUUUAAUUUUACUGUGGACGAUAUUUUCAGCAUUUGCUGAGGACAGUAAAUUUUGUAGUUUAUGUUAUUUCACUUUUUAUGACUUUUUAACACUUAAUAAAAUUUUAUUAGAGCACUUUUGUGUUUACAAGGCCACAAAACUCUUGGCAGGUUGUCAGAAGUCCUUUUUAUUAUGAUCCUACUGAUAUACUGCGAGUAAUGAAAUAAUCAUGUCCAGAAAUGUAUCAAAGGCCAGAGGGAUUAUCCCACUUAAUAGCUCCACAGAUGCGCCCAGAAGAAUGUGGACUGCGGCGGACAGGCUGGGAGGCAGCAGAGGAAGAAGGCAGUUCCCCCCAGCCCCCAACACACACACUCACACACACUCCUUUCUUUACCACUUCUGUUGCUUUCCUAAAAGGCUACAUUCAGGGUCAUGUGACUUUCCGCGGUCUCAAUAAAAAAAAAAGAAUUUAUUCUAUUGCAAAAUGUGCUUUUCUUUUUAUACUCCUUGUGUGAGCCUUUAAGGCAGGUCUAGUGGCAGUGGGGCUGGCUCGGCGGAUCCCUGUCAGUCACUUUGCUCUCGUACUAAGUGUACUUUUGUGCCAUUUAAGCAGCCGAUGGUGUCAUUGGCGUUGAGAGUGCAGCUUCUACAGCUCACACUGAAGGCUUUGGGGACCCAGGAGGGCGCGAGUUGUUUUAAGAUACAUGGCCAUUUGACAUACCCGUGUUAAGUUCAAUCUUGCUACAAAAGAAGGCCAUUUGUACUUCCUGACCCUGAAAGCAAGAACUGUGUCUCUUUAAAUCUACUGAGGAAGAUAUUCCUUCUGGCCCACAGGAUGCCAAAAUGACUCGAUGAUUUAUUUAUGCAGCGCUUGGCAGCCCAUCGUCCAGAUUGUGGCUGAAGCUGAAUUUUAUGAGCCUUCCCCCAAAAAACUGGAAGAUUUUGCCAUCUUACAAGCCCUCUUCCUUAAGAAAGAGAAAGAUGAGCAGUAAAUAUCCUCUGGCACGUCGGCACAUUCUGUCUCUUCGUGUUUUCAUGAAGUGUUCAUGACAUGGGAUUGAAGUACUCCUUUGUGUUCAGUAUUUGAUAUCAAAUCCUUUACAAAUCACUGGGAGAAUGGUAGAAGGAAUGAUGAGCUUUCCCUGAAGGUUCCAGCUUCUUCCUGCCACUAUUCUCUAGGGUGGGGUCACCUUCAUCUGGUUCCAGGAUGCAGCAUGCCCAGGUCUAAGAAGUCACCCCUUUUGUUACAGUCACUAGACUUUAUCAGGGUCUUGUCAAUCUCUCUGGCGAUUUGCAUGAUUCCCAGGUACUCAAGAACAGUUAGGAAGCAAUGUUCUUUAUGGGGCUCUCCUGUACUUCUUUUUCAGGGUGAGAAAGCUUGGUGUUCAGGACAAUGGAUGCCAAAUAGAAGAUAUGUAUUUGUGCCUGCUAAAUACUUUUGCCUAUAAGCAACAACACAGUAUCUUGGCUUGUCCAUUAUCUCAAGUCACUGAACGAGGAAGUAGAUUGCUAAUGACAGAGAACGGAGGAAAGCUUACAUUUUAGGUCAUUCACAAAGUUGGAUAAAUUUAAUUGGAGUUUAAUUGUCCAGUUCCUUCUUUUGAUUGCUAGUAACAGAGCUCAGACCCUUUGCCAAGGAGGGCAUCUGUGUUGGGUUUUGGUUUUCUUGAUUUGAAAAGCAUUGGAAAAGCCAUCUCUGAGUGAGGCAGAGAAGUCAGAGAACUCUAAGAGUCAAAUCAAAGUCAGUGGCCAGUGGAGCCUGAACCCCAGUGAUCAUUCUAUUCCUGUCAUGUUGAUAGUCCACAUAAACCCAAUAGGAGAAUACAGAAUAGCCAUAGGACAUUGAAACAAAGAGGCCUCUGCCUAGAACUGGAUAUCACUACAAACCUUGGAUUCUCAGCAUUUCUGCCUUUUAUGUUGAGGAACUUUGGGGGCUUCAGGCUUUAAGAGUCCAUGUUCUGGUCAGUGCAGUAAUGUACUUGGUACUUGUGUAGUCUUUAUACAUAUACAGAGUUCUGCAUUCUCCAUGGUUUGUAGACAAUUGAUACCUUCAUAUGGAUGUUCAGCUUCUUUUAAUGGCAAGAAACCCUCUUCAGAAUAUGAGAAAAGCCUGUCCAUCUUCAGAUAGUCCAGGAUUGAGAAGCUAGUUGCCUCCAAGCUUACUGCCCAAAUAAGUUGAAAACUGGUUUCAGACUCGCAUCUAACAUUGCUGUGUUGUAACAGUAAUACAAGCCUUCCUGUGCAUGGUAGUAUACAUCUCCCACAUGCUGUCUGGCAAGCUCCCAGGUUUGGAUUUAUGUUGACAGAUAUAGAAUCCUCUAUGGUGAGAGGAGUAUUUCUGAUCCCAUGAAUCAUCCUCUACUACCUCAUGUAUACAGGGCCAUCGCUCUACAGUCAAUGUAGAAAAUUGGAGCAUCACAGUGUCAGAUCAUUCCCACGCUAUCAAACCAAAUAUGACCAGGUUUGUACUCAUUAGCAAGGUUGUAUGGCUCAGGCAUUAUUUUUGCACUACCAAAUGCUGUAUUGUGAAGCCAUUCUCCUUAUUUCAUAGGUAGCAUGGAUAGAACCAUUCUAAGAAUGACGUGCUCCUCCUCACAACAGCCAUUCCCAACUCUCCAACCAAACCCCAGUGGGGUCCCGGGGCUCCAAAGAUCCAUUUAUGAAACACGGAGCUUGGGCAGUUUCUGAAGCCUUUGAGAUGCAUGGUGAUCAGGCCUAUGCACUUGGCCUUGCAGUCUAGAAAGAAUAAUAUAGUUCCCCUAAGACAGUGAAAAAAAUGCCAUGAAUGAAUUCUGUGCAGCUGAAGACAAGUGGAUAAGUGGAACACAUAAAGUGGGGGUACCAGAGCUGCCCAGGCCCUUUGUUAUACCAGCACUAAGACCAUGCCCCUGCUCGCAAUGCCUGCUCCCCCAGGAUGGCUUUAUAAAACCAGUACAGCACCAGGCUGGAGUUCAGACAUAGUAAGCUUAGCAUGGACUAUCCCACAGGCCUGAACAAGGCCACUUUGAGUAUCAACAUUGGCAGUAUCACAGCCAUAGCCUGGGACCUCACCUCCUGAAAUGCCCUCAACUUGAUGCUAACAGAGACUUAAAUCCACCAGUCCUGAUGAAUGUGCCUUUCAUACGCCCUGCCUCAAUCCCAGCAUUGUUACAUCUGCCUUGACCAACCUGGCAUCUAUGCAAGGAGGUUUAAGCUCCUGCGAGGACUGCAAAGGACUGGGAGUUUGAGAGAAAUGUAGGCUGAGAGAGCUGAGGCAGGUCCGUUCCAUCUCUGCUGUACUCAUCCCAGCCUAGUUCAUUAUCCAUUGUCUCCGAUCUGCCCCUCGAGGAAAUAAUUUGGUCUAAAUAAUCUCAGAAUAGGGCUCCAGAAUAAAGUUUUUAAAAGACUAGCUGCAUUACACCAUGUACUCCAAUUCAACUGGAGAUUAAACAAGAGAGAAAGGAGACAGAGUCCCCCAGAUCCAAGUCUCCUAUCUUCAGAUAUGUUUUAUGGAGAGCUUAUGUUAUUCACAAAAGAGAUGUAGUUUCCCCAGGGGAGACAGCAGGUGUGCAUUUCCUCUCAAGGUUAUUUAAUUGCUGUCAGGAAGACAUAUGAUUAACAAAACCAAAUGCUGGAAAUAUGAAGUAUAGACAAUUUUAAAGUUGUUUAUAUAGUUGAUUACCGUAUAUCAUACAAUGUGUUUAUUUGCCAUAAACCUGCCUAUCACAAACUGUUUCCACACCUGUGCAUUGGUACUAAACAACCCACCGCUUAGUUCUGCAUAAAUCCCUGGCUCUAAGGUUGGCCAGGAACACAGAGUGGCUUUCACUGGUGGUUUGAGUCACCUCCCAAGCACCAGCUUGACCGUGUCUUUUGACACCCUCCUUCUGAGGCCAAGGCCUGCUGCCCCGUAGUGUCCUCUGCCUGACAAUAACUCUCUAUGGGAGAAAAAACGUAUGGAACUGGCAGGCCUCCGCAGCUCCUCUUUGUCCUCUAUGCAGUUGCUACUCUGAUCAAGGCUGACAGUUUGUCACACACUACUACUGCAGAGGCCAGAGCAUUUUGAAAGGCAAGAAACAGAACGGAAAUGGAGAGGAGAGCCCAGCAUGACUUGCGCCGUGCCAAAGGAAUACGUAGAAAUAUCUUGAAAGAGCCAGGUUGGUCCAGACCUGCUGGCAAGCCUGCAGCCCCAUCCACCGAUUACCUAAUACACUUGUGACAUCUGCUUUCCUUGUUGUGAGAAAACACAGGGAGGAAGUGUGUAAGUCCACUGAAUUGUUCCUGACUCCUCUAUUCACCUUUCAGCAUGCAAGUUCCUUCCCUUGGCGUUGAUAUCAUUAUGCAUUUGUCAAAGAUAGACUGUCACUUUAGGGCCUCUAUUAUGCACAAGAAUUGGCAGCAAAUUUUGCCACUGGGAUUUGCUUAUGUCCUCUGUAUGUUAUUGUACUUCCCUGGCAUUCAGUAAAUUCCGUACACCCACUCCUUUGAUGUUCAUUCCAGCCCCUAAAUGUGGAAACAAUGACUGAAAUUUUGGAUCAAAGCAUCCCGUAGACGGCAGGCAGCAUAGCUCUCUGAUAAUUCACUAGAACACAGAGUUCCAUCCCUCCCCCCAUCUAAAAAUCUAGGCCAGUAGUCCCCCAAGCCCUCUGGCUUCCCCAGGCCAAAGGCACAAGAGGAAGUUAAAGAAAACAAGCUCAAAGUUGGAGUCAAAAGAAAGACACUGAACUACACAGCGCCAUUGAAGCUCAUGGUCAUAUGGAAGGCUGACUGCUGUACCAUCUGUUAAUCCAUUUCUCUUCACUGCUUUAGCUGGGCAAGGUCUCCCCCCCCCCCCCCCCCAGCAUUUGAACACUCUCCAGGUCCAAUUUCUGUAUAACGUCAGCUGCACAAAAUGACCUAUAUUUGUCAAAAUAAAAUUUUAAGUCCCGAAGUGUCCAUGGAGUAUAUAAUGGUAAAACUAAAAAAAUAAAAAUAAAAAUAAACUCAAGAACUAGCAAAAUUUCAACAAGUGAUUUUUGCAAACUGGAAGCUGCCUGGAGCAUACAUUUAGUUUGCUUUCCUCUGGGCAAAGCCAGAACAAACUAUGACUUCAUUGCCUUUAUUUCACACCUCAAGUUUGACUCCAUUAAGAACUAAAGCAGGUAGCUCCCUAAGACUGCUGGGAAUCAGAUGAGUGAACAGAUAGGAAACUGUUGGAAGCUAUUUGGGGGGUCGGGGAGGGCACCUUAUAAAUCCAGGGCGUCUAUAGCUUAAUUUUUGCCUUAUUCCACUUGGAAUUUAGAGUGUGCUCAUUACAAUCAAUAUAUAAUGUUGGAAACCAUCAUAAAAGGAUAACUCUCCUUUUAAAUAUACUGAAUUGUUUGAGGACCCUCAUCUGGAAAGAUGAGAAUUCUCAGUGGAGAGGGACAUUUGAGAUUUGGACCAACUUCUCCAAAAGGGAAGACAGUCUACAAGUCUGACGGCAUCUGUCCAGUCAAAAGGUGCAGAAGGGGUGAUGCCUGACCUACACACCCGGCAAUACCAGAAGUUUCACUACCUUCCGUUGGUAAACGCUUCAGGGAAGGCUCUGCAACCCUGAACGUGUUUUAUUGUAGAACCUCACUAGGAAACUCAUCAGUAUUUAUUAAAGAUGAAUUAAAAGAAGGAGGAAAAGGAAAAACGGGAUAGUGAAGAGAAUAGAUGAAUGAAAAAGAAGCAAAGGGAAGAGAGGAGGAAGGGACAAAGAGGGCAAGAAAAGAGAAAAGAGAGAUGAGAGACCAGGACUUCCCACCUAACCUUACCAAACUUUUUCAGUUGAGCUUUUAAUGGGAUACUAUUCCCAAGAGGAAAUUCAAAAAGAAAACCACCUUGAAACAUCCUUGCUUUUAAUUGUACUCUUUCAACUGCCAGGAAAUUAAUUAGGUAAGACAAAAAGAAAAUUUUCUACCUUAAUAAAAAGAAGCCAACACCCAGGAACAACUGUCUUUGCUUGAGAACAGUGUUACGUGUACAAAGCUGCCUACAAAGUGUCUCCCGCCUGGCUCAGGCAAGAAACUGGGACAGAAGUCUGUGAUGUUAUACCAGCCUGGGAGUCGUGCAUGGUCAUGUCAGUGUCGAGUGCACCAGGCGACACAGGGACAUGCCAGGCACCGCUCCUCCAGAGAGACUUGCCAGGUAUACAUGUUACCUCUCUCCCUUAGGCUUCACAGACUCGGCGGCCUUCCUCCAACCACCUGUCUCCUUAGGAAGUUUGAGAGAACUUUCUCCUCUGUGAUACAAACAGUAACCAAACAAAGCAGUAAACAAUCCAGUGUGGAAAGCACAUACUAAAGCUAAGAUUUAAUGUCACUGAAAUAAAAUCAUAACAACAAAAAACUCCAAGUACCCUUUCUUUGCAUAAUGUAUUUCAGGUGUCCAGCUACAGAGGCCAAGCCUGUGAUUUACAUCAAGCAAAGAGUCCUGGGAGAAAGAGGAGGAAAGACCGCCUUUGCCUGGGACAAGAUUCCUAUUUGUGUCAAGGAGAGUUAGGGACGAGAUGGUUGAGGCAGAGCAGCUGACUGCAGUCUUUAUCCAGUUUGCAUUGCUUUGGGGAAAGCCUUUUAACUGCAAGCCGGAUUGUCCAGAUGCUGGGCUGUCCGGAUGCUGGAUGGUCCAGAUGCUUUGUCGUGGUUGUUCCCUCUGAGUUUCCUCUGCCUUCUGGCUCCUCUUAGUCACCUUCACAACAGGGCUUUAUCAGGACUCUAGAGCAUCGGGCAAGCUCAGGUCUCACCUCUCCUUUUAAUUCUGCAGGAGUCUAUGCCAUGUACUCCAGCCCUGCAUAGAAUGAGUUCUGGAGUUCACCUGGAGCCCACGGAGAGUGGAUGUGGAACUUUUCUGUAGAACAUAGGAGCCGUCUGUACCGGCACAGCUUCAGCCAGCAAUAAGCAUUACCAGCUCCUGCCAGAGGAGCAAGAGGCAGCCACUGAGCUAUAGAGAUCCACACUCCGUCCCUCGUACAACUGCCGCUGUGACCACCUUCUCCUUUCUGCUUUAUUACGUCUGAGAAGCAUUUCAUAUGAUAACCUUCCCUUUCACUCUGGCCUGGACCCUUAUUGAAAAGGAAGAAGCAGUGGAAGAGAUCAGACAAGCAGUGUUGUUCGAGACACUUCCUAAUUCCCUUAACAAGGGUUAUGAAGUUUCGGCUGGGAAAAAGGACAAGGGGCAGAGACAGUGUUUAUUUACAGAAUGGUUCUAGAAGAGCUGACAGGCUUCGAAUGGCCGUGGGUUGUACGGUUUUGACAUUUAACAAUUUUAUUAACAUCUUUGCUUAUUAUUCACCUUAAUCUUCAGCGUCUGCAGCCAGGAAGGAGUGUGCCCAGCUGACAGCCUGUGUCUCAGGCCCUGCCAGGGGAUGAAUCAAUUAGCAGGAGAAGCCAUGAUGCAAACGUUCUGGGGUCACUUGAGAGGCUGUUUGCCUUUCUGAUAGAGAAAGCACACCAUAAAUACCAUCACACCUCAGGAAAUCAUCCCGGGAGGCCCAGAUGCUAGCACGACGGCUGUCACUGCUGUGGGGACAGAGGGAAUCCUUGGCUCCCUGGGUGGAUUUCCCUCAUGCCGGUCAAUAGAAGAUUUGUAGUGAAAUCAAAAUAUUUUAAAGGAGGACAGUGUGCGGUAACAGAGGCUUGUUUAGCUUUUUUUUUUAAGUACCAGAACCCAUGAUUUAUGACCCACAGUUACAACCAACUUUAUUACAAAAAUGACUUCACCCAUAAUAACCUUAUUCAGGAAUCCUUACAGAAUGAUGUAGUAUCCCCAAAGCAUUAUAAGCUAGCAAAUAUUCACAAACAAUUCCUACUGCUGUCCCUUUUCCCCACCCACUCAGUGGUAGGGUAGGAUUCCCCCCCACCCCUUUUUUUUUUUUUUAACCAGCUGGGAGAAAGAGGUCCCAGACAAGCUUCUAUAUUCUUUUGGUAGACAUUUGCCAGGUCAGGCAUUUCAAAUCACCCAGGACAGAGGCUGCCUCCUAGCUUCGACCUUUAUCUUCCCCAACCAGUGCCCUGGGCAACAGCACAGGGCUCCAUUCACCUUCACUGCCUCCCUGAGCAUCCCUGUCUCCCUCCCUCGUUGGAUACCCAGUAUCUGGGGGUAGCUUCAUGAAGUCCCUCCCCUUUUAAUUGCCAUGGUAACCGACAGCUGCAUUAAAAUGGCCAGGACUUGGGGGGUCCAAGCAAUGUCCCUCGGGUGUGCCUGGAUCUAGGAACUGGUUCUCUAUCUUAUUAAACUCAGGUGUCAGUCCCUAGCAUUUGUGUUAAAUUUACACCCUCCAAGUCGGUCAGUGGGAUUACAUGUCCAUUUGCAUUAAAACAGGUUUCUGUCAUUAAACUGCCAUACAAUGAGCGUCCUUGGGACAAAUUAAUGAGCUCUAAAUAUCAUCAAGUAGAGAAGUUCACUUCACCAAGACAGCCACCGUGGGGUCGGAGGGGGUGGCUGCUCACUGUUCUCACCCAAGAGAACCGUAAGCGCCAGCUAAAGACGGUCUCAUCCUGCUUCUCCAUCGAAAGAUGAGUGUCAUGAUUUAGAGCCCUCUGAGGAGCUGGUGAGUUCUCCCCUAGCCUGGCCCUAGAGCUCGUCUCUUCCUAUUCCUUAUUCCAGACAUGCUGAUAGCAUUGACUUUGUCUGCUCAAAAUCACUGAACAACCAUUGGCUUCCUUCCUAUGUGACAGUGCUUCAGCUUCAUUUCUCUUUCCUUGCUUUCUGAUGUUAAGGACCAUCUGUGUACAGUGUGGCCUGGUAACAGAAUGCACACAACACAGUGACAGGGGUAGCCACAGAGUGGGCCUCUACUCUAAAACACCCUCCAGAGUAUGUGUUAGUAGAGCAGUUGGCCCAUGAGUUGGGUGGGGGCCUAUCCUCUGGAAAACUGGUUUUCCUGGAAGUUCCUUUCCCAGUUGUCUAAAAGGUAUCUGUGUGUGUGUGUGUGUGUGUGUGUGUGUGUGUGUGUGUGUGUGUGUGUGUGUGUACGCACAGGAACACAUGCCCAUGUGCCAUAAUACAUCUGUGGAGGUCAGAGGACAGCUUGAAGAAGUUGGAUCUUGACUUUUACCAUGUGGAUCCUGGGAGCUGAACUCAGCUUGCCGAACUUGGAAGCGGAUACCCGAGCCAUCUUGGAAGCCCCUAGGGGAGACUUCCUUUAAGACUGAAUUCUUUCUGUUCACAAGCAUAGUUAGUGUUUGCCCUCACAAAUACAUAAUAGGUAGAAAUUAUCAGAAACUAAUAAAUAAAGCCCCAAGCUUUCUCUUACAUAGAGCCAAGAGGCUGCUAGAUGAACCUCCUCCACCGCACUCUGAUCUCAUUUCUGUGCGGCCCUAACAGGGGACAGUAAUGUAUGAUUGAGACACUGCUACAUUUAGGAAUGACAAGAUGGGCAUUAUUAAUAGCUUAAUUGACAUUAAGGCAAUUACCCCUACCCUUAUUACAGUUUGUAGAAUUACUCAGAAAAUAUUGGCUGAGCCCUUUCUUUCCCUAGAGCUACCCAAGGAUACAGCAUUUUAUUUCAUGCCAGAUCUCGGCUUUGACAUUAGAUACUUAGCCAUAGAAUGAUUCCAGUAAAUCAUUAUAAAUGCAUUAUAAUAAAGAUGUUAUGAGCUAUCAGAUAUUAACCCCCAACCCCUAAAGAGAGAUAAAUAGUUCAGUUGCUUGGUUCCCACUAUUGUUUCAUCAGAAAUAAGCUUUUGCAAGGAGCAACUGACUAAUGAAUUAUAAAAUGGUGUGCUGAGCUCAGAUAAUUAAACAAUGCAUUUUAGUGUCUAGUGCAAGAUGAACACUAAAUCAUACACAGAUAAAAAAAGGGGGGGAAAUCUAAACCCAGGCCCAACUCCUAGUCUCAAAGAGAGUUAAGGUAGUAGGCUACAAUGCAGCAAUGUGUUGGACAUUUUCUCACCUGAUUCCAGGGGCCUGCCAAAUAAGAUCAAGACACAAAUGGUUUAACUCAACCAAGAGACAGAACAGAGUUCUGGAGGUGUUAAUUUCAGAUAAGCCUACAAGGCUAUUUUAAAGGACAUUUUACAUGGAGGUUACUUUUUUUAUCCCCCAAAGUGCUCGUGGGCCCUAAAUAUAAGAACCUAGAAGUUUUUAAGUUUCCUCCGACUCUCCAUCCAGCUUUUACUUUUGAUCUCUGAACUCACAGUGAAGCCUAUUAAUGGAAGUUUGCAGAUCAGUGUAGAAACCAUGGUGUUGACGAUUUUCUUGGCCUUAAAGCAUUGCAAAGACAAAGCCUGCUGCGGAGGUGGGGUGAGUAGGAUUUGAGUUCGGAUCAUUAUGCUCAGGUAGGUCUCUACACCCCACAAGGCUCCAUCUAGUGGUCAAUUUUAGAUGAUCACGACAUUUUUCUCUGGCUUUGCCAUCAAGGUUGGUCUGUUAAAUUAUGUGUUUUAGUCACCCAGCCUCCCAAAAGUCAUGGGGACCACCUUGGGAUAGCUUCUUGUUUACUGCUCAAGCUUCAUACUUCUAAGGAUUUGAAAGAAAAACUGCCUCAGAUCAUUCGGGAACAAGGACUGACCACCUGUGCCCAGGGACAGGGUUUCUGUCAACUCCGGGUCCAUGUGAAUCACUCCGCCUUUUCCUGUGCUCUGGUUAACCUGGGCACCACAACUGGAUCCUUUCAUCACAACCACUUCACUUUAACUGACCUCUCUAAAGUUUAUUUCCUUCAAAGGUACAAUGAAAAUAAUACAAUAAUGCUUACCCAUCACAUCAUGCAGACAUGAGUAAGUCUACUCAUGCAAAAUAAUUGUUAUCUCUUUUCAUUUUAUUGUCUCAUUUUUAAUCCUAUGUCUCUCCUUACCCAUUAUUUUUUCUUCUAAUCCCCAUCCUCCCUCUCUCUCUCUCUCUCUCUCUCUCUCUCACACACACACACACACACACACACACACACACACACACACACACACACAUUUGUGAAUCUAUGACUUGAAAACUUCUGCCAAAUUUACUCAAGUCAUCUUCCUUGGGUCUUGCAUGGGGUUGUUUGUGGUACCAAUUCUGUAAAAGCUACCUACCCCUGAGCUAUAUUAAUCAUCACAGCUACUGGUAACAGUUAAUGUCUUCCGACUGCUUAAUAUAAGCCAGGCGGUACGCUAAGUAUCAUCAGCUUGUUAAAUUUUCACAAGCAUAUGAGGCAAGUACUAUUUUCAUCUUCAUCUUAAGGGAAAUUAAAGCUUAAAGAUGUUAUGUAACUUGCUGAAGGUCAUGAAAGCUCCAAAGCAGAAAGCCAAGCUACUUGCUAAGAAUCAGCCUGAAUCUGAAGGCUCGUUUCUUCAGGCUGGUUUUGUCAUCUCUCUCUUCUUCUACACUGGCCUUAUCAAGGGACCUCAUGAGCUUGUGCCCACUCUUAGCUGGAGUGCAACCUGGUUUACAAUUGCCCCAAAGUUGCUUAUUUUGAAACUCCUGGGACAUUAUAUAAAACCACACCAAAAGACUUUUAUUACUAUACACAACUUCAUUUCAUUUUGAAAGAAUAUGUCUGCAGGAGGUGACACACUCGGUUGUGCAUUCAGGUUGGAACAGUCCCGCCUUACUUGACACCUUGGAUGGCUGGCAGCCACCCUCCACCACUGUCACAAGAGACUGAUAACCUCCCAGUCUUGCUCAGAACACUGGUGCUUCCUAAUGACCCAAGACUCACAAAUCUCAUCCCUUCCUUAAUUGAAGGUGUAAAUGAAGGGGAGGGAGCAAUCCAACCUUAGGGAUAAAUUAUCUUAGCAAUUUAAGAUUGCUGUAUUAUCAGAUAAAAGGCAGGUGUGAGUUUGCUGAAAGUGUUGUGCCUGGAAGCAAAAGUCCACACAAGGAGUUGCAGUGAGGUUAUGGGGGGCAUCUGUGUAGCAAAAAGACAGAGGCAAGGAGGGGGUCUAGCUGAAAGUAGUGGUCUGUUUGCUUUAAGCUUGUCUCCACUUGUAUUUCAAAGCACAUCAGAUGGAUAUUUUUCCCACAGUCUUCACACAUGGUCCUGAUUCUGACCAAGUGCUGUGGAUAGUCACUGCUAGUGUCUCAGUGUCAGGCACACUGUCCUUUGAGGCACACAGCAGCUGUACUACUUGGAUCCUUUGCAGUUGGACAAGCCAGUGGUCUGUCUACUAUUUUGAUCGGAGCUACUGUGUGUGCCAAAAGCAUGUCCACAGAAGACCCUUUAGCCCUUUCUCCUGCAGAAGUGACCUUGGUAACAUAUGUUGAGAGGGCUAAGUACUGAAUAGCCUGGAUUCCUAAAAGGUUUGGUGCAGCCCCAUGUUCGACACAUAGCAUCAGCAAGAAGUAAACUUCUGUUAGACUAAGCACUGACAUUUGGAGGUUGUUUAUUACAAUAACAAAACCCAGCCAAUCCUGACUAAUCCAGGAGCUGACAUUUUGCUCAGAAAAUAUGGGCCUCUUCUUUCCAAGUCAUAAACUGGUAUUCCUUUUCCAAUAGUUUGAUUCACUCACUAAAUAGUUUAAACUUUUCAUCCUGUCGGCAUACUCUCAGAUGCCUAAAACCAGUAGAAAGAGCUGGGAUUGUACCAAGUUCUGUCUUGUCCUUCACCAUUAUCAAGUAAUUGUCACUAUACUCUAAUAGACAGAAGAACAGAAAAAGCAAGGUUGGUCUUUUCAGUGUCACAUAGGAUCACAUGACAACGAAAGGGGGAGAAACUGUGAAGAGGAAAGAGUAUAGGAUGGCAAAGAAUAACAAGAAAAUGUAGGUGGGAAAAAUCAGAGAAAAGACAGAUACAAAAUGUAGGCACAGUCUUUGGAGUUAGCGGUAGACAGUUGCUUGCAGGCAGGUUCCACUCCUUGUGGUGACACUCAGCAUCUUUGACUUCUGCAUCUAUAUGUCUAGCUUGCCAUGGUACUCAGGGAAAAUUGGCUGAAAGGGUAAAUAAAGGAAGGAGUCUCUCAUCUUUACAGUCUUGGAUGCUUGUGGAGCUAAGUGGUCUGUGACUAUAAAUGGGUAUUCCAUCACACCCUGAGAGACAGUACCUAAAGGGAGAGCAAUAAGUGCGUUUGAAUAGCUCCUCGUAAUCUUUAAACCCAAGUCCUUGAAAAGAGCAACUAUGAGGUCAGAGCAAUAAUUCUUUGUCCUAGAAACAGAGCAUCACGGAUAACUCAGGGCAGUCCAUUUUUAAAAGCUCUUCACAUAAACUGGUUAGAAAUGCCCUUGUUUUGUUUGUUUCUGGCUAGGCAGGAUGGAGGGUACAGUGAGCACGGAGGUGUCUGUGACCAUGAGGUGAGGAGAGGUGGGAAAACGGAGUGGAAUACGAUUUGCUGAGUAACUGUUUUUAAUGCUUUCCAUGGAAGAGAUUAAAAUGUGUGGUGGGGUUGAAGAGGAAAUGCUGCGACUCAUUCACGGGAUACAGCCCUGGGAACCCUUAGUAGAUGAUUCAGCUAGUUACAGGAUAAUUCCUCUUCUCUGAGAUAUGCAGAAUGCCUCUGGUCAAGCUGCCCUCCAAACCUUACUCAAGGAUUCUCACAGGCAAAACUAAUAGAAUCCAGAAGGUAGCUGCACCUCUCUCUGGUGAGGAAAGAACACAUCUAGGUUUCUAGUCUUGGGGAUUUAUUGGUACAUGACGCCAUGACUCUAUGGUUGUGCACAUGGGUCUGUCUGAAAAGCUCAGAGGCCCAAUGCUUGACAUGAGAAUGCAAACACAUUAUCUGUUAGCUGUCGCAUAGCAGCUGCAUGGGGACGGCAACGACAUAGAACAGACAUGAGCCAUGAGCCACAUAGGGAGCCAGUCUCAGAGUCCCAUCAAAACACAGCACAGGCUGGGCUCCAUCCAAACAAGCUACAGUUUGAAAGAAAAUAAAAGUCCCUUGGCUUCAGCAUCUCUUAGGGAUGAACACUAAACUUCCUAGUUUAAAUCCAUCAUUUUAUAUCCGCCAUAGCAAACUAUACUCCUCUCUCAUUGUUUAUCAGAAGAACAAAAUUCUUACUUCCCUAGCUUGACGACCCCAAAUCGUGAGCUUUUCUUCUGUUUCCCCCCUUUGGCCUGACUAGUUUUAUGGCAACUGGAUACAAGCUGAAGUCAUCUGCCAGGAGGGAAUCUCAAAGGGGAAGGAGGAAAAAAGCCUUCAGACUAUAGGCAGGCAAGCCUGUGCUGCAUUUUCUUAAUUAGUGAUUGGUGGGAAGGGCCCAGCCCAUUGUGUGUGGGGACACCGCUGGGCUUCUGGUCUUGGGUUCAGUAAGAAAGAGAGCUGAGCAAGCCAGUAAGCAGCACCCCUCCAUGAUCUCUGCAUCACUCCUGUCUCCAGGUUCUGGCCCAGUGUGAGUUCCUACCUUGAUUUCCCUCAAUGGACUGUGAUUCGGGAUAUGUACGGCAAAUAAACCCUUUCCUCCUUAA